UGCAUACAAAAUAUGAUACUUUGAGUAGGAAUCUCCAACAUAUGAA
ensembl:snoRNA